ACAACUACGGGUCCUCUUCUGUUUUUAGCCUCUGUAGUAACUACGAGCAACCACCGACCCAUUUGGUUGAAAGUCAUCAGUUAAGCUGGCCCCUCCUUAUGGUUGAACACCGGACCGGAUGUAGGACAUACCACCUUCAGAUGGGCUCUGAGGAAAACGUGGGGUUUUAACCGACAAACAGUAGCGCACUUGGAAGUCGUAGUGCCUCUAGUAUUAUUUAUUGCUUUUCGACAAACGGGCGACAUAAGUAGGGCUUCUUAACAGUUAUGCAGACAGCAGCGAAAAAGCAUAACACCUACCGACUCGCUCGACUCCCAAAUAUAUAAUUUUCAGGUCUGUAGUAUUGGCUGAAGGACCGUGUAAACGCGGCUUGUAAGAGGAUCCCAUCGUGUUUUUGGCAUUGCUGUGGCACUGCCUCCUCUGUUACCGCCCUUUCUCAGGUUGGCCGUAGUGUAUAGAGAGGAGCCUACUCAACUCUCCA